CCUACGGGUGGCAGCAGUGGGGAAUAUUGCACAAUGGGCGAAAGCCUGAUGCAGCAACGCCGCGUGAGCGAUGAAGGCCUUCGGGUCGUAAAGCUCUGUCUUCAAGGAAGUUAAUGACGGUACUUGAGGCGGAAGCCCCGGCUAACUACGUGCCGGAAGCCGCGGUAAUACGUGGGGGGCUACCGUUAUCCGGAAUUACUGGGCGUAAGGGGGACUUAGGUGGUUUCUUAAGUAAGAGGUGAAGGUCUACGGCUAAACCGAAGUAAGCAUUUGAUAAUGGGGAACUUGAGUGCAGUAGAGGAAGGUGGAAUUCGUGGUGUAGCGGUGAAAUGCGUAGAUAUUAGGAGGAACACCAGUUGCGAAGGCGGCUCUCUGGACUGUAACUGACACUGAGGCACGAAAGCGUGGGGAGCAAACAGGAUUAGAUACCCGAGUAGUC
rnacentral:rRNA from 1 species